UCCACAGGUGUUUGGUCGGGGUGGACGUAUACCCUGAAUGUCUAUAAGCAAGCCAACGGUUGCGAGUUUGAAUCUCAUCAGGGUACAACUUUAACAUUUGAGCCAAUUAGCAACUUUUCAACCAAUUACUACUGCUGAGCUACUUUGCAACUAUUUAGCAUGUUAGCUUUAAAUAAAGGUUAAAUGUUCUCCGCUUGUGCCCAAUAAAAGAGGCUACUGUUUGCUCAAUUAACUUAAGAAAUUCAAUAACUAAAAGACAGAAUGGAGUCUAUUGUAAACUCUUUACAGCAAUAGUCAUUUUGCGAUAUGCCUGUCGGGUGUCUCUGCUUUUCACUGACAGGCACAACCAUAACAAUUUGGUAUUUGCAGCGUGCGCUGCCCUUCUCGACUGUAGGCUAUGCCAUUUAAAACAAUCCCGCACUGUACGAUCUCGGCCACUCAUCUCUCUGGCUUGAAGUGUUCUCCUCAAACCACAAUGCUAAAGUUGGAGCUUAUUGGCUUGCAGUCAGUACGCACAUGUUUUAUGCAGCUGACAUGUAGUAAUGUUAAAUAAUGGGAUAUUAGCCUGGGCGCCAGGGGUGAAAGUAAUGACCCGUGUACACUAACUAGCACGCUGUGUAACACCUCUUCCCGUUCAUGUUCAAUGGAAGGAAAGCGGUGAAAAGUGGAGAGGGCUGGGGACAGUUGGGCGGCACGGACAUGGAGUGGGAGGCAGUGAAACCUUUCAACAUUUCCCAACUUUAUGCAAAUCAUUGGUGAUGACCAAUCAUAUCGAGUGGUUCCCAUGAUGCAUUUGACGCUAUGCGACCCAUCGCAGGAGACUUUCUUAAGCAAAGAUGGCUGACAAAAAUACUAGGAUGGAAGCAAAUGGAUUCCUGAGAGAACCAGCAAACAAGGCUGUCAUCAUGUGAAACAGUGGAUGUAAAGAAUCUAGCUAGCUAAAACAUUUAUUUCAAAUUGGAUGUAAAAUUUUGUAGGCUUGCCUUGCUGAUAUUUCCAAUGCAAUGCAGCUGAUGUAUUGUAGCUAGCUAACUAUUUUCUUGCUUAUUGUGUAGCGGAGGAUAAAAAAUACCUGUAUGCCUAUGGAUGUGUAGCUAGCUAUGUAGCCAAUCUGUGUAUGGACCCUAAAACGUUUGGUAUAAAUAUUAUUUCAGAACCUAUGAACCUCAGCUAUCAGAGCCAGUUGUAUCAACUUCAAAACAUUCUGAAUGACAUUAAUGAAGCGUAUGGAUCGAGUAGAAUAUAACUUUGUGCCAAGGAUGCAAGUCCUAUAUACAUGUAGUUAUUACCAAGCAUGAUAUCCCCACAGUGCAGCCUAUACAUUGGAUAUAUUCACUGAUCAUGUACUGUACCUUGGCAAAUAAAGGUGCUGUUCAGGUA